rnacentral:snRNA from 1 species
GUGUUUGCUUUGGUAGCACAGGUACAAAAUUGGAAUGAUACAGGGAAGAUUAUCAUGGCCUCUGUGCAAGGAUGACAUACAAAUUCAUGAAGUGUUCCAUACUAAA